UGAGGAAUAUUGCGCAAUGGGGGAAACCCUGACGCAGCAACGCCGCGUGGGUGAAGAAGGCCUUCGGGUCGUAAAGCCCUUUCGGACGGGACGAACGCUCCGCGGGGUCAAGCCGCGGAGUCUGACGGUACCGUAGGAAGAAGCACCGGCUAACUCCGUG
rnacentral:rRNA from 1 species